rnacentral:rRNA from 1 species
UACGAAGGGGGCUAGCGUUGCUCGGAAUCACUGGGCGUAAAGCGCACGUAGGCGGAUUGCUAAGUCAGGGGUGAAAUCCUGGAGCUCAACUCCAGAACUGCCUUUGAUACUGGCGACCUUGAGUCCGGGAGAGGUGAGUGGAACUGCGAGUGUAGAAGUGAAAUUCGUAGAUAUUCGCAAGAACACCAGUGGCGAAGGCGGCUCACUGGCCCGGUACUGACGCUGAGGUGCGAAAGCGUGGGGAGCAAACAGG